UACGGAGGAGGCAAGCGUUAUCCGGAAUUAUUGGGCGUAAAGCGUCCGUAGGUGGCGUGUCAAGUCUGCGGUCAAAGACUGGGGCUUAACCCUGGAAAGGCCGUGGAAACUGACGAGCUAGAGUGCAGUAGGGGUAGAGGGAAUUCCCGGUGUAGCGGUGAAAUGCGUAGAGCUCGGGAAGAACAUCGGUGGCGAAAGCGCUCUACUGGACUGCAACUGACACUCAGGGACGAAAGCUAGGGGAGCGAAUGGG
rnacentral:rRNA from 1 species